CCUAAUUCUGUUCCUCCUUCACUAUUCUCUCUCUCUGUACCUAGCAAUGUCAGCCAUGGCAGCUCAGAGCUCUCCCAGUACUCAGUGGUGGAGUGGGUAAGAGAAUUCUUACAAACGUUUCUACAUCAAGACAGUAGUCAGUGCUAUAAUUACAUGAAAUUAUAUAAACUAAAGUCAUCAUCAUCUUUACCUCCUCCCAAUUGCCUGCAUUUCCAACUGCAGCAAACACAAAGUUAGACAGGCGAUGGCCACCAGACAGUUUGGACUAUAAUUGAUGGGAACCCACAAAGAGGAUGGCUUUUGAGUCUCUGUAUCACCUGAUAAGGUGCUUUGGUUCCUUUCAGCAAGGAGUGUCAUGUAUAAGCAACAUCUGAUACCAGUUAUGCCAGUGGUCUUGGGUUCAAAUUCAGAAAAUAAAUAUAAAGAC